UCAACAGGAUGAAUUUUUUAUUCUAAGUAUGUUUUUUCUGGCAUCUCUAAUGUUAGGGCUUUUCAGCUCGAUGAAUAGAACCUUGACUAUAUCUGAUA
rnacentral:snoRNA from 1 species